rnacentral:misc_RNA from 1 species
UGUUGGCAGCUGGACAAAGUAGUAAAAUAACUGGCACAUUUGCUGGGCAAUUUAUCAUGGGAAACCUUCGCCUGAAGAAAUGGCUGAGGGCCCUGAUAAUAUGUAGUUGUGCUAUUAUGCCAACUAUGAUAGUAGCUCGUGUUCAACACGUCUGAAGCUUCAUUGGAUAUUUUGAAUGAAUGGAUAAAUUUAGUUAAGUCAAUACAGAUCCCUUUUGCACUUAUCACCCAUUUUACUUUGGUGGCUAGCAGGUCAGGGGGGUCUUUAGAAUUGGGCCUGUUCUUG